GGCUCAGUAGCUAAGUUGGUAAAACAGUUGUCUAGCGAAUAAGGGUCGUGAGUUCAAAUCUCACCUGAGCGA
rfam:Aedes albopictus isolate Foshan contig123101, whole genome shotgun sequence.